rnacentral:rRNA from 1 species
AUUGAACGCUGGCGGCAUGCCUUACACAUGCAAGUCGAACGGCAGCGCGGGGCAACCUGGCGGCGAGUGGCGAACGGGUGAGUAAUAUAUCGGAACGUACCCUGGAGUGGGGGAUAACGUAGCGAAAGUUACGCUAAUACCGCAUACGAUCUAAGGAUGAAAGCAGGGGACCGCAAGGCCUUGUGCUCCUGGAGCGGCCGAUAUCUGAUUAGCUAGUUGGUGGGGAAAGGCCUACCAAGGCAUCGAUCAGUAGCUGGUCUGAGAGGACGACCAGCCACACUGGAACUGAGACACGGUCCAGACUCCUACGGGAGGCAGCAGUGGGGAAUUUUGGACAAUGGGCGCAAGCCUGAUCCAGCAAUGCCGCGUGAGU